UAGAGUUUGAUCCUGGCUCAGGAUGAACGCUGGCGGCGUGCCUAAUACAUGCAAGUCGAGCGAACAGAUAAGGAGCUUGCUCCUUUGACGUUAGCGGCGGACGGGUGAGUAACACGUGGGUAACCUACCUAUAAGACUGGAAUAACUCCGGGAAACCGGGGCUAAUGCCGGAUAACAUGUUGAACCGCAUGGUUCUACAGUGAAAGGCGGCUUUGCUGUCACUUAUAGAUGGACCCGCGCCGUAUUAGCUAGUUGGUAAGGUAACGGCUUACCAAGGCAACGAUACGUAGCCGACCUGAGAGGGUGAUCGGUCACACUGGAACUGAGACACGGUCCAGACUCCUACGGGGCGCAG
rnacentral:rRNA from 1 species